rnacentral:rRNA from 1 species
GAAGGAGAAAGUCGUCUCAGGUAGCAUCUAUACUGUGAAACUGCGAAUGGCUCAUUAAAUCAGUUAUCGUUUAUUUGAUAGUACCUUACUACAUGGAUACCUGUGGUAAUUCUAGAGCUAAUACAUGCUAAAAACCCCGACUUCGGGAGGGGUGUAUUUAUUAGAUAAAAAACCAAUGCCCCUCGGGGCUCCUUGGUGAAUCAUAAUAACUUAACGAAUCGCAUGGCCUUGCGCCGGCGAUGGUUCAUUCAAAUUUCUGCCCUAUCAACUUUCGAUGGGAGGAUAGUGGCCUACCAUGGUGGCAACGGGUAACGGGGAAUUAGGGUUCGAUUCCGGAGAGGGAGCCUGAAAAACGGCUACCACAUCCAAGGAAGGCAGCCGGCGCCCAAAUUACCCAAUCCCGAACGGGGAGGUAGUGACAAUAAAUACUGAUACGGGGCUCUUUUGGGUCUCGAAAUUGGAAUGACCACCAUCUAAAUCCCUUAAAAAGGAAUCAUUGGCGGGCAAUUCUGGUGUCAGCAGCACCGGUAAAUUCCCCCCCUGUAGCGUAAAUUAAAGCUGCUGCCUCUACACAGUGUGGUGCCCUUCCUUGAGUCUGGUUGGUCUGCCCCCCUGCCACCAUGCUCCGGCCAGACCGGACCUUUUUUUUUUUCUCAUAAGGUGCCCAUCUCUGCAUGUAGAAACACCACCACAUUCAUAGUGAAAAAAUUAUAGUGUUAAAACUACGACGGUGUCUGAUCAUAUUAUAUCCCAAAAAUAGAAUACCGAGAAUAGAAAAAUCUCCCUGGGCGAGAGCUACGCCCGAAUGAACCUAAAAAAAUCAAAAUUUCCCCUCUGAACUCUAAAUACGAACCCCCCCGACUAUCCCAUAUAAUACAUACCGCCGCUCCAUAAACCCAACAAAUAUAACCCCUCGCUCCAAAUCUUAUUUAUCCCAGCUAAUGAUAUCCCAACACAGGCCCUGCCUCUGAACCCCCUCUAAUUUUUUCACCUUAGAAGUCCUGGGUGUCCCCCCACCAACCCACUGGAUAG